rnacentral:misc_RNA from 1 species
GAUGAAGAACGUAGCGAAAUGCGAUAAGUAAUGUGAAUUGCAGAAUUCAGUGAAUCAUCGAAUCUUUGAACGCACAUUGCGCCCCCUGGUAUUCCGGGGGGCAUGCCUGUCCGAGCGUCAUUACAACCCUCAAGCUCAGCUUGGUGUUGGGCCCCGCCGCCCCGGCGGGCCCUAAAGUCAGUGGCGGUGCCGUCCGGCUCCGAGCGUAGUAAUUCUUCUCGCUCUGGAGGUCCGGUCGUGUGCUCGCCAGCAACCCCCAAUUUUUUUCAGGUUGACCUCGGAUCAGGUAGGGAUACCCGCUGAACUCAAGCAUAUCAAUAAGCGGAGGA